rnacentral:lncRNA from 1 species
UGGAGUACCUCCCACAGGUGUUUUGGAGUCUCGCAGUAGCUGUAUGCCUCCAAGAGAUGCUCUUCAAGGGACCCUUGUAGCACUGAAAGCACCAUCAAGUCUUCUUGAAUCCACUUCUUCUCGGCAGCAGCAACUUGAUCUCCCACACCUUCACCUCCUUCUCCGUCUUUGGCCACUGGCUUGGUUGCAUCAUCCGUGAUGUGACUCCAAAGCCCUAGCCUCCCAAUGGCUGUCUUCACCAGCCUUGACCACAACAGGUAGUUACUCCCACCCUUCAACGCAACCGGAACUGUAAUGACUUUGUAGUUUCCCUCCAUCUUGUUUUGUUAGAACCGAAAAGAAAGUAUGAACGAGUAUGAACUGAAGCUGAAGAACACUCUAAACCUCAAUACCAAAGCCAACCUGGCUCUGAUACCAUAUGAUUUUAGAGAGUUGAACAGGUAUUGAGAGAUUUAGAGAAAGAUUAAAGUGAGAUGAGAUGAUUUAUGAAAUGUAGAAGAGAAACAUGAUGAACUAGAGAGAGAAUAUGAUAAACUCGUGUUAACAAAUCGCAAGGUUAAGGAGUAAGCAUGUGAAGUCAAGGUAAAGGAUUCAAAUCAACCACUAAGAGGCAUCACACGCUUAUGGCAUCUUGGACUAAAGGUGCUUUAGCUUUCCAGCCUGUCCCAGCCUGGCAAUGCGCGUCCCUUAUCUCUUAAACGGUCUGAUCCUUCUCCACUUGAGUAACUCUUCCAUAGUUAUCGUUUCACUUGUGCAAGGUAAGUUUAGGUUGAGACUUGGAUGGUACGGACUGUACGGCUUGUACGGCCUUGUACGGACGUCCGUACCAUGCUCUCUCUAAACUCCCUUAAGCUUCCUCAUCUCCUUUCCUCUUCAACUCCUUAGCUCUUCAUACAUAUAUAUUCAGCUCAACUCAACAUACCCCCUCAAGCUUAGCUUUGUAUAAGUCUAAGCUUGGACAGCCACAAGAUCUUCCUCAUUAAAAACCUCACCAAAGAAGAUCUCUUUCCCUCUUUAUUAAAGGCUUGAGUAUAGAAAUGUUGAGGUGGUGUGGUGAUUGAUGUGCUGUGUAUAUCCCAGGAUGCUUUAUGAGACUUGUUUGGUGUUCUUGAUGAUAUAUGCCAUGCUGUGAGUCUUGAAUGAGUUGCUAGGAUGCUAGAUGAUAUUGUCUCAUCCGCUGGUUGCACUCAUGAGGUCUAAAAGUGUUGUUAAGGGGUUUUGCAUUAUCAUUCGGUUGCUACCUUAAGAUUGAAACAUCUAGAUUAAUGUCUAAGAUGGUGGUUAAGGUGGUUAACUAUUAUUGCCUAAAUACUAUGGGUUUGAUCAUUGAUCAUACAUAAGUAUUUAGAGAAUGUGCUUGCAUAGAUUAGGACUUGAUAUUAUCUUGAUUCUGUCUGUUGCAUUGACUUGUGUAUUUCCAUAGCUCUAAUCGCCAUGAAUAUGUUGUAGGAAUGAGUAGAAUAUCUCAACUGAUUACAUCAUGAUUGAUAAGCUGUUUUGCAUACAUAAGCAUGUCUCAUACUGUCUAUGUUCAAUCCUAGUAUUGUCUGAUCUCUUCUUGCAUUCAUAAAUAGAAACUGAUUAAGGUUAUUGCAUAUUGUCAUAUUGUUGCUGCCUUAGGUUGAUACACUUAGAUUCAAAUCUAAAUUGUAGUUAAGGCAGAAGUUAUUGCCUAAGUAGCUCGUCUUGAAUCUGAUUUGAUCUUGCUUGUACUUAGAGAGAUUGCUUGCAAAGAUGUGAAUGUGAUAAUGCUUGUUUCAAUCUGUUGCAUAGCCUGUUACAUUGGAGAUCAAACUUGAUAUUGGUCAAGGAUUGAUCCCAAUGCUUGUGUCUUAUCUUUGCUGGAGUUUGAUUGAUGUUUCAGGUUCACAUGAUGUGCUCUUUGUUCAUC